AACUGUUUUAACAGUGGCCACACUAGCCUUUUAUGCAAGUCCCCAAGCAAUGGUGACACCCACAUGGACCUUAUUGGGGACAGGGACACAAACUUAUACACCAAUAAUAACAGGGAUACAAUAUAAGGCACUCCCACACAUGGCAUACAAUUCCUCCCCUCUGCCUGGGAGAUAAUUAAAUCGAUUACUGUAUCAACUCAAUUAUCUCCAGGUGAAAAAGAACAAUUUUAUAAACAUUCUGAAAAUACCCCGAAAUCAC